rnacentral:rRNA from 1 species
UACGUAGGGUGCGAGCGUUGUCCGGAAUUAUUGGGCGUAAAGGGCUCGUAGGCGGUUUGUCACGUCGGGAGUGAAAACUCAGGGCUUAACCCUGAGCCUGCUUCCGAUACGGGCAGACUAGAGGUAUGCAGGGGAGAACGGAAUUCCUGGUGUAGCGGUGAAAUGCGCAGAUAUCAGGAGGAACACCGGUGGCGAAGGCGGAUCUCUGGGCCAUUACUGACGCUGAGGAGCGAAAGCGUGGGGAGCGAACAGG